CAGUCGCCACGGGAAUACGAAGGGUGCAAGCGUUACUCGGAAUUACUGGGCGUAAAGCGUGCGUAGGUGGUGGUUUAAGUCCGUUGUGAAAGCCCUGGGCUCAACCUGGGAAUUGCAGUGGAUUCUGGGUCACUAGAGUGUGGUAGAGGAUAGUGGAAUUUCCGGUGUAGCAGUGAAAUGCGUAGAGAUCGGAAGGAACAUCUGUGGCGAAGGCGACUAUCUGGGCCAACACUGACACUGAGGCACGAAAGCGUGGGGAGCAAACAGGAUUAGAUACCCCGGUAGUCCCUGUCUCUUAUAC
rnacentral:rRNA from 1 species